CAGCGUCAGUUCGUUUGCGAACUGUGUGAAAAGCGAAUUCGGACGCCACAUUUUAUUCGGAAAUCUAAAAAAAAAGCACAAAAAGUGAAAAACGAAACGGAAAAGCGUCAACGAGCAGAGUGCGAGCGGUAAUGUGCGAAAGGCUACAAAGAAAUUAAUUAUAUUUUUGUGACUCGCGUUUACAGUCCGCGUUCGCUUGUGCUUUUACAGUGCUGUGACAUUUCGAACAGACUCGUAUAUAAGAUAAAAUCGUAAAAAUUAAACGAAAUAAAACAAAAUUGAGUGGUGCGUCGCGUGAACGGUGUAGAAAAGUGCUAAAGAAAAGCAUUUGUACACUUGCAUAUACAAACAUACCUACAUUUAAGAAAGUGUGCUAAAAGCAGCACACAAAUAGAUAUUUUAGUGAUUGGGUUUCCCAAGCCAAAAAAACUACAAUGAAAAAACGCGCGUGGAAAGCAGAAAUAAAGAAAAAACACAAGAACGGUGAAUAACUGUUAAGUGCUAAUGAUUUCCCUUGAGACAUUAAUCGGCAUCCUGCUUGAUUUCAUGUUGUUCUAAUGGCGCUGUGAGACUGCUAUUGUGUUCGAGAGGCGUGAAAUAAUUGCAAGGUUGCGCUUUCUCAAGUCAUCACGUGCCAACCCAAUUCACCAGCACACUAGUUAUAUUUCUGUAGUUACAACUGCAAGUGUUUUAUACAACAUAUUACAUAGUAAAGUGCACCAUUUGGAUGACGACUGACCGUGGCGACCGUGGCGAAAAACUUUGCGAAAUGCGGUAAGACUAUCAAGCCAUUAAAGGGAGACAAUAAACCAAACUGACGCUGUUGCCAAGCAAUUGAAAAUGCUAAAGACUCACAGACAAAUAUGCAGCCGCAGAGACGUUGACUAGCGUUAUAUCCUUUCAGCAAACAAAACUACAGAAAGCAACGAAAGUAAUACAUACGUACUUAUAUAUGUACAAACAUUUUUCAGCGUGGUUUAGUAAAAAUGCGGAAUUUCCGCUUGAAGUCAACUUGAAAUACAUAAUUACUGUAGAGGACUAAGAGCUGUAGCUGUGCGAAGUCUAUUAACUCGUAAUUGCGGGAUUCAAUUUGGAGUGCUUUAUAUUAGAAAUGCAUACAAAAAGCAACCAUUACUAUAAAAUUGAUCUCUGACAUUUGAAGCAGCAGUUGCUACUUAAUGUAUUUUGGUACUAAUUAUAUUGAUAAUAGAUAAGAAUAAUUAAAAGUUAUAAAUAAUUUACAACAAAAAUUUUUUUAAAGCAUUUUAACGCAAUAAAAUUAUACUCUAGGCUGCAACAUUUCUCUAGGUUUUUGAAUUUUUUUCAUAAGCUUGCAACAAUCAGAAUUGCUCCAUUUAUGUCACAAUGUUGCGAAUGGCAUGGCUUUGUCUUUUGUGGACAUUGUUAAAUACAGAAUCUUUGUAAUCAAAUAAUAAAACCUAUUU